UACGUAGGGGACAAGCGUUGUCCGGAAUCAUUGGGCGUAAAGAGCGUGUAGGCGGCCCGAUAAGUCCGCCGUGAAAGUCCAGGGCUCAACCCUGGAAUGCCGGUGGAAACUGUCGGGCUAGAGUCCGGAAGAGGCGAGUGGAAUUCCUGGUGUAGCGGUGAAAUGCGCAGAUAUCAGGAGGAACACCAAUGGCGAAGGCAGCUCGCUGGGACGGUACUGACGCUGAGACGCGAAAGCGUGGGGAGCAAACAGG
rnacentral:rRNA from 1 species